CUUACGGGACGACCUGUAAGCGUUUCACAUCUGGGGACGGCCCCA
rnacentral:ncRNA from 2 species